rnacentral:lncRNA from 1 species
GGAAAUGAUUGCUCUACUUCUUGGCAGCAGGUCUCCAAGAGGGAGGGGCCUGGCCACCUCUCUGGCCCAGAUGAGGUGUCAGCCUCACUAGCUGAACUGAAGGCUGGCUUGAACAAUGCUCUGCAGUCUCCUUGCCCUGCUUCUGGGCCCUCUCUUGGAAAAAGGAGAGGAAAAUUCUCAGAGCCACAGAGACAUGAGCAGAAGGUGAUGUGAAGACAGGCAUAAGGUUGGAGUGAUGCUGCUACAAGAC